ACAGCAGCAGCCGCGGUAAUACGAAGGGUGCAAGCGUUAAUCGGAAUUACUGGGCGUAAAGCGCGCGUAGGCGGUUUGUUAAGUCUGUUGUGAAAUCCCCGGGCUCAACCUGGGAAUGGCAAUGGAUACUGGCAAGCUAGAGUGUGUCAGAGGAUGGUGGAAUUCCCAGUGUAGCGGUGAAAUGCGUAGAGAUCGGGAGGAACAUCAGUGGCGAAGGCGGCCAUCUGGGACAACACUGACGCUGAGGCACGAAAGCGUGGGGAGCAAACAGGAUUAGAUACCCCAGUAGUCCCUGUCUCUUAUAC
rnacentral:rRNA from 1 species